rnacentral:rRNA from 1 species
CGUGUAGGCGGGCUAAUAAGUCAGUGGUGAAAUCUCUCGGCUCAACCGGGAAACUGCCAUUGAUACUGUUAGUCUUGAGUUCGGUUGAGGUAGGCGGAAUGUGUAAUGUAGCGGUGAAAUGCUUAGAUAUUACACAGAACACCAAUUGCGUAGGCAGCUUACUAGACCGACACUGACGCUGAGGCACGAAAGCGUGGGUAGCGAACAGGAUUAGAUACCCUGGUAGUCC